rnacentral:rRNA from 1 species
UACGAAGGGGGCUAGCGUUAAUCGGAAUUACUGGGCGUAAAGCGUGCGCAGGCGGUGAUGUAAGACAGAUGUGAAAUCCCCGGGCUCAACCUGGGAACUGCAUUUGUGACUGCAUCGCUGGAGUGCGGCAGAGGGGGAUGGAAUUCCGCGUGUAGCAGUGAAAUGCGUAGAUAUGCGGAGGAACACCGAUGGCGAAGGCAAUCCCCUGGGCCUGCACUGACGCUCAUGCACGAAAGCGUGGGGAGCAAACAGG